rnacentral:rRNA from 1 species
GAUGAACGCUAGCUACAGGCUUAACACAUGCAAGUCGCAGGGUAACAUGAGGAAAGCUUGCUUUCCUUGAUGACGACUGGCGCACGGGUGAGUAACGCGUAUCCAACCUUCCCAUAACUACGGGAUAACCCGUUGAAAGACGGCCUAAUACCGUAUGAUAUCGUUUGCUGACAUCAAAUAACGAUUAAAGGUUUAGCGGUUAUGGAUGGGGAUGCGUCUGAUUAGCUUGUUGGCGGGGUAACGGCCCACCAAGGCGACGAUCAGUAGGGGUUCUGAGAGGAAGGUCCCCCACAUUGGAACUGCGACACGGUCCAAACUCCUACGGGAGGCAGCAGUGAGGAAUAUUGGUCAAUGGGCGAGAGCCUGAACCAGCCAAGUAGCGUGCAGGACGACGGCCCUAUGGGUUGUAAACUGCUUUUAUGUGGGGAUAAAGUGCGUGACGUGUCAUGCAUUGCAGGUACCACAUGAAUAAGGACCGGCUAAUUCCGUG